rnacentral:lncRNA from 1 species
UUUGUUUUUCAAAUAAUAUGAAAAUUCAAAAAGUAUAUAUAUUUUCCUUUUAAUUUUAAUAAAUAGGCUAAUAGUUUUAGUAUUAUCUUAAUUAUAUUUAUUUUAAGCUAUUUAUUAAUUUUUAUUGUAUUUUCUUAAAUAUAAAAAUUAAUUAUCUAAUAUUAUUUUAUUUUAAUUAAUAUUAUUUAUUUUAUUUUAUAUAUAUUUUAAUUUAUUAUUAAAAAAUAAAUAAAAAUAAAAUAUAUAAUUUUUUUAGAAAAAUUCUUAUUCUAAAACUACUCAACUUCUCCCCAUUAUCUGAACUCCCCUCAAUUGCUCCCCCAUAUCCUCUUUUUAAGGAUAAUCCCCCAACUCCCCAAAGACAGAUUACGUACUUGGUACACUAUUGACAGACAGAAAAAACCAAACAUAGAGAAAAUCAGAGAAUACAGAGAGGACAGAAAAAAAAAGACAUCAGAUAAAAAGAGAGGCACAGACGAAAUCAAAGAAAAGAAAAGUUUUGAAUCGAGUUUGGGGUUCCGUUUGAAAUUAUUGGUGACGAUUCUCGCUUCAUUAAUCAGUUAAAUUCUUCACACAGGUUCUCAUUAAAUUCGUGCUAUUUAUCUUUAUAAAUUCUAUUACGAAUGAUAGCAUGAAUCAAAGUGUUUAAAUAAUGUCAACAUACGCAUCUCACUUUCUCUAUUUCUUCCAUUUCUCAUCUAUUGUUUUCCUUUUCUUUUUCUUUUUCUUUUUACAUAUCCCACAAUUUUCUUUUGAAUGAUAUAAUUAAAUAGGGGCUUUUCAAGAAUUAUUAUUACCAUAUAUUCUCAUCAUUUUGUGUUAGGCAAAAGCCCCUCGCUGGUAUAUAUAAUUUUAUAUAGAGAGAUUUGUGAUUGUUGAUUUGUUUCUCUUUGUUUCUGUAAACUCAAUUGUUUUCCGUAAUUAAAAGAGAAAAAAAAGGAAAAAUAGACACCACACAGAUUCACCUACACACACAAAUAGCCACACACUCACAGAAAAACACUCACAAACUUCUCCCUUUUCCAUUUUUCUUAUACUAACAAUGCAUACAUACCUUUAAAAAUUCACAUACACACACCCACAUAGUAGAAAAAUAGUGAGGAAAAAAAAUAAAAAAUAGACUAGAGAAGAAGAAAGAAAUCAGUGAAGAUCUGCGAGAAAGAAAAAAGAAAAACAGAUCGAAAAGCUUUUUUUUCGUUGAACUUUCACCGAAAACGAAAUUUUCUCGCCGAAAAACAUCACCCAUUUCAAAAUUCUAUCUAAAUCAACGAUAACCCGGCGAUCAAAUACUUCAUUGUCACUGUUGUUAUUGUUCCGAUGGCAUGAUUUCACCGUAAAACAUAAAAUUUGACAACAGCACAUGCACCGCCAUCUUUUUUCUCUCCAAUCGGCGAAAUUUCGGUGCCACCCCUUUUUUUCUUUUCCUUUCAGUGACCACUGAACCACCAACCCACGUCGCCAUAUCUUCUUUUCUCCAUGAAUAAAAACCCGCAACACCACCCACAGUCAUUGCUCGCUGAAAACAGGCUCGAUCAGACCAAAAUUUAUAGCAUCCAGCGUCGUUCUGGCAAAAGUCAUGGAAGCGAUGUUCCCGAUCAUUGUUGCUCUAGUGUGAGAUUUUUGACAUCAUGGAUGUGUAAUGGCAUUUUUUUUGUCUCCGUUGAUUGUGAUUAUUAUUAUUCAUUUAUUAAUUUUGGGUUUAGAUCUAAUUUCGAAAUCUUUUAUAUUUGAGUUAUCUAUAAACUGUGAUUUGGGUUUUGUAUUAAUAUGAAAAAUUAGACCUGGGGACUAUAAUAUUAAAUUUAUAUAGCAUAAUAUGAA